rfam:Glycine max cultivar Williams 82 chromosome 17, whole genome shotgun sequence.
UGCCGUGAAUGAUGAUAAAUAUUUUUUUUACAGUUAUCCCUGGCUGAUACAACAGGUGCUGAAAAUUGUAAUCUGACACGCAA